rnacentral:lncRNA from 1 species
GAAAUAAAUCAACAUUCCAGUCCAGGUCCUAGGCUCAUUUAAAUGGAUUGGUGAAGUUAACAUAAUUCAUUCCAGCGAAAUGUAAUCACUCAACUCCGUCAAGCUUCCCUGGGCCUGCGGAGUGCGCAGCCAAGUGAAAACACAGACAAAAGCACAAGCCCAGUGAAAAACCUCGCCGUGCCCCGUAUGGAUUGAAGAACAGAAAAAGAGAAAUGGGAGUUUCAGUAUUGCUGGGCAGCUGUUUCUGAGAAACUACGCUAGGAUGCAAAAUAGGCAAGAAAACGCCUCAUCACCAAAGAACAAGAAACCAAUACUGC